rnacentral:rRNA from 1 species
CCUACGGGAGGCAGCAGUGGGGAAUAUUGGACAAUGGGCGAAAGCCUGAUCCAGCCAUGCCGCGUGUGUGAAGAAGGCCUUCGGGUUGUAAAGCACUUUCAGUGGGGAAGAAAGCCUUGGGGCUAAUACCCUCGAGGAAGGACAUCACCCACAGAAGAAGCACCGGCUAACUCCGUGCCAGCAGCCGCGGUAAUACGGAGGGUGCGAGCGUUAAUCGGAAUUACUGGGCGUAAAGCGCGCGUAGGCGGUCUGAUAAGCCGGUUGUGAAAGCCCCGGGCUCAACCUGGGAACGGCAUCCGGAACUGUCAGGCUAGAGUGCAGGAGAGGAAGGUAGAAUUCCCGGUGUAGCGGUGAAAUGCGUAGAGAUCGGGAGGAAUACCAGUGGCGAAGGCGGCCUUCUGGACUGGCACUGACGCUGAGGUGCGAAAGCGUGGGUAGCAAACAGGAUUAGAUACCCCGGUAGUC